GAUGAACGCUGGCGGCGUGCCUAAUACAUGCAAGUCGAGCGAAGCGGGGACGGGUGAGUAACACGUGGAUAACCUCCUAUAAGACUGGGUUAACUUCGGGAAACCGGAGCUAAACCGGAUGCUUAUAGAUGGAUCCGCGCUGCAUUAGCUAGUUGGUAAGGUAAUGGCAUACCAAGGCAACGAUGCAUAGCCGACCUGAGAGGGUGAUCAGCCACACUGGAACUGAGACACGGUCCAGACGCCGACGAGAGGCAGCAGUGGGGAAACUUCCGCAAUGGGGGAAAGCCUGACGGAGCAACGCCGCGUGAGUGAUGAAGGUUUUCGGAUCUUAAAACUCUGUUAUUAGGGAAGCGUUACCUAAUCAGAAAGCCACGGCUAACUACGUGCCAGCCGCCGCGGUAAUUC
rnacentral:rRNA from 1 species